UUCUGAUUGAUAACAUUUGAGUGAGUGGCGGACGGGUGAGUAACACGUGGGUAACCUGCCCUAAAGUGGGGGAUAACAUUUGGAAACAGAUGCUAAUACCGUAUAACAAUGACAACCGCAUGGUUGUUAUUUAAAAGAUGGUUCUGCUAUCACUAAGAGAUGGUCCCGCGGUGCAUUAGCUAGUUGGUAAGGUAAUGGCUUACCAAGACCGUGAUGCAUAGCCGACCUGAGAGGGUAAUCGGCCACACUGGGACUGAGACACGGCCCAUACUCC
rnacentral:rRNA from 1 species